GCCAACUGUCCAGCCAACUGAAGACAGUAGUGUUAAUUCAAAAGUUAGAGAUUGAUAUUCAAAUAUUUGACCUCUUUCUGAAUUAGGCAGUUUUCAUUAACGUGUUAGUAGGAGAGUACCACAGAAUGGCAGAAACAAUGACAGCAAACAGCAUACUUGAUAUACUCAACAUUGAGCAGCAAAGAGGACUGUGAACAACACUCAUGCUCUUACACAACCUCCUAGCAAGAUUCUGGAGAUGAUGAGAUAAAGAAACUUCCUUUGCAGUAGAAGAAGACCACUACAGAAAAUACCAAGCAACCAAAAUGCAAAGUUAUCAAGCCCAAUCCUACAUGGCAAGGCUCAGGAAAGAUUGCAGAGAAUAAUAAAUGAUUCAAAGAUCAGUGACAUUCAGCCUCUAUUCGAAACAAAUGGCAGUCUUUGAACCAAUAGGACACUAAGAAGAAGAUUCAAGUUUCA